rnacentral:sRNA from 1 species
GCUGCGGCACAAUCCGCAGCCGGAAUUGGCGUUCCGAAUCUCCCCACGGUCUCCGGAAACAUCAGCAGCAUGUUU